rnacentral:tRNA from 1 species
GACGUGGUGGAACUGGUAGACACACUAUCUUGAGGGGGUAGCGGCGAGAGUCGUGCCGGUUCGAGUCCGGCCGUCGGCACCA